UGGGGGAUAUUGCGCAAUGGGGGCAACCCUGACGCAGCAACGCCGCGUGAAGGAUGAAGGUUUUCGGAUUGUAAACUUCUUUUAUUAAGGACGAAACUUGACGGUA
rnacentral:rRNA from 1 species